rnacentral:rRNA from 1 species
AUUGAACGCUGGCGGCAUGCUUUACACAUGCAAGUCGAACGGUAACAGGUCUUCGGAUGCUGACGAGUGGCGAACGGGUGAGUAAUACAUCGGAACGUGCCUAGUAGUGGGGGAUAACUACUCGAAAGAGUGGCUAAUACCGCAUGAGAUCUACGGAUGAAAGCAGGGGAUCGCAAGACCUUGUGCUACUAGAGCGGCCGAUGGCAGAUGAGGUAGUUGGUGGGAUAAAAGCUUACCAAGCCGACGAUCUGUAGCUGGUCUGAGAGGACGAUCAGACACACUGGGACUGAGACACGGCCCAGACUCCUACGGGAGGUAGCAGUGGGGAAUUUUGGACAAUGGGCGAAAGCCUGAUCCAGCAAUGCCGCGUGCAGGAUGAAGGCCUUCGGGUUGUAAACUGCUUUUGUACGGAACGAAAAGCCCCGGGUUAAUACCCUGGGGUCAUGACGGUACCGUAAGAAUAAGCACCGGCUAACUACGUGCCAGCCGCCGCGGUAA